rnacentral:rRNA from 1 species
UACGUAGGGUGCGAGCGUUGUCCGGAAUUACUGGGCGUAAAGAGCUCGUAGGUGGUUUGUCGCGUUGUCCGUGAAAACUCACAACUCAAUUGUGGGCGUGCGGGCGAUACGGGCAGACUGGAGUACUGCAGGGGAGACUGGAAUUCCUGGUGUAGCGGUGGAAUGCGCAGAUAUCAGGAGGAACACCGGUGGCGAAGGCGGGUCCCUGGCAGUAACGUGACGACUGAGGUAGCGAAAGCGAUGGGAGCGACGAGGA